rnacentral:rRNA from 1 species
CCUACGGGUGGCUGCAGUGGGGAAUAUUGGGCAAUGGAGGAAACUCUGACCCAGCAACGCCGCGUGAAGGAUGAAGGUUUUCGGAUUGUAAACUUCUGUCGCGAGGGAUGAAGAAUGACGGUACCUCGUAAGAAAGCCCCGGCAAACUACGUGCCAGCAGCCGCGGUAAUACGUAGGAUGUGAGCGUUAUCCGGAUUGAUUGGGUUUAAAGGGUGCGUAGGCGGUCCGUUAAGUCAGCGGUAAAAUUGCGGGGCUAAACCCCGUCGAGCCGUGGAAACUGGCAGACUUGAGUUGGCGAGAAGGACGCGGAAUGCGCGGUGUAGCGGUGAAAUGCAUAGAUAUCGCGCAGAACUCCGAUUGCGAAGGCAGCGUACCGGCGCCAGACUGACGCUGAGGCACGAAAGCGUGGGGAUCGAACAGGAUUAGAUACCCGAGUAGUC